rnacentral:misc_RNA from 1 species
UAUAAACUUUUAAAAAAACUCAGAGUAUCACCAAAAAUAUAGGGUAUAAAAUUCUUUGGUAGGGCAUAAGGCAAUCUAUAAAAAUAUACCUUAACAAUUAGUAGACUAGGUUUAUAACUUAGCCUAGCUCCCUACCAAAGCAACAGAUAAGUUCACAAAGGUUAUGAGCAAAAUACUCAGUAAUGAUCCCUCCGCUGGUUCACCAACGGAGA